rnacentral:rRNA from 1 species
GAUGAACGCUGGCGGCGUGCCUAAUACAUGCAAGUCGAGCGAACAGACGAGGAGCUUGCUCCUCUGACGUUAGCGGCGGACGGGUGAGUAACACGUGGAUAACCUACCUAUAAGACUGGGAUAACUUCGAGAAACCGGAGCUAAUACCGGAUCAUAUAUUGAACCGCAUGGUUCAAUAGUGAAAGACGGUUUUGCUGUCACUUCUAGAUGGAUCCGCGCCGCAUUAGCUAGUUGGUAAGGUAACGGCUUACCAAGGCAACGAUGCGUAGCCGACCUGAGAGGGUGAUCGGCCACACUGGAACUGAGACACGGUCCAGACUCCUACGGGAGGCAGCAGUAGGGAAGCUUCCGCAAUGGGCGAAAGCCUGACGGAGCAACGCCGCGUGAGUGAUGAAGGUCUUCGGAUCGUAAAACUCUGUUAUUAGGGAAGAACAAAUGUGUAAGUAACUAUGCACGUUUUGACGGUACCUAAUCAGAAAGCCACGGCUAACUACGUG